rnacentral:lncRNA from 10 species
AGGAAAAAGGAAGCACCGUAUAGGUCUGACCUCAGAAUACAAAGUCUGAAAAACAAAUGGGGAAGGUUACACACUUGCUGACACAAUCCUUUCUCUGAUGCUAAGAAUGCAUUUCUGUGGCAAUACACAAGGACUCCUUCUAUUACCUUAGCCUUGAAGGUGCCAGCUUGAGAGGGCAGAGACAGGAAAAAUCCCACCCUGCCAAGCCUAUGGUCCCGUUCUAGGCUCUGAACGACCUGAAGACAGGUACAGUCUCAUGAAUCUUUGUAUCCUCAGUGCCUUGCAGUAGCUGGCAUGUGUCAGCUAAUCAAUGAAUUAAUAAAUUAGUAAAUGAAUGCAUCAACCAAAUUCAUUCCACUGUGAUGACUUGAAUAAAUAUUCAAUGAUUAAAUCGGUGCAACCAAAACUAAAUUAAUUGCUGC